CCCCCAUGCCCUCCUCCCUGACCUCUGGAGUCCGCUCCCCCAUUUUGACCCCCAGUAUCCCCCAACGGGACCCCCUUUCUGUCUCAUAGAAGCCACCCAGCUCUCCCCUCCCCACUCUUCCACCCCAUAGAAGCCCCACUCACACAUUCUCCCCCCCCAAGAUUCCACACAACCCCCUCUCCACCCCAGACUCCCUUUCCACCCCACAGAAGCCCCACUAACCCCUUUCCCCCCCCUUCAGCCCCCCUUUUCCCCACUUAGAAUCGUGCCGAGGGAUCUGGAGACGUCCUAGAGAGGUUUGGGGGCAUCCAGGGGGUUCUGGACUCAUGCAGAAGAGUCUGGAGAUGUCCAAGGAGGAUCCAGGGAGUCCCCAGGCCUGCCUGCAGCCGGACCCGGUGACACCGGAGCCCUGUGGCGCUGUCACCAUCCUCUGUCCCGAGGACGGGAGGUGAACUCUGUGCCACCA
rnacentral:lncRNA from 7 species